rnacentral:rRNA from 1 species
UACGUAGGGGGCAAGCGUUGUCCGGAAUCAUUGGGCGUAAAGCGCGUGUAGGCGGUUCAGUAAGUCUGCUGUGAAAGUCCAGGGCUCAACCCUGGGAUGCCGGUGGAUACUGCUGGGCUAGAGUACGGAAGAGGCGAGUGGAAUUCACGGUGUAGCAGUGAAAUGCGUAGAGAUGUGGAGGAACACCGAUGGCGAAGGCAGCCCCCUGGGCUAACACUGACGCUCAUGCACGAAAGCGUGGGGAGCAAACAGG